rnacentral:rRNA from 1 species
UAGGGAAUCUUCCGCAAUGGACGCAAGUCUGACGGAGCAACGCCGCGUGAGUGAAGAAGGAUUUCGGUUCGUAAAACUCUGUUGUUAGAGAAGAACAGCGCAUAGAGUAACUGUUAUGCGUGUGACGGUAUCUAACCAGAAAGCCACGGCUAACUACGUGCCAGCAGCCGCGGUAAUACGUAGGUGGCAAGCGUUGUCCGGAUUUAUUGGGCGUAAAGCGAGCGCAGGCGGUCAAUUAAGUCUGAUGUGAAAGCCCCCGGCUCAACCGGGGAGGGUCAUUGGAAACUGGUUGACUUGAGUGCAGAAGAGGAGAGUGGAAUUCCAUGUGUAGCGGUGAAAUGCGUAGAUAUAUGGAGGAACACCAGUGGCGAAGGCGACUCUCUGGUCUGUAACUGACGCUGAGGCUCAAAAGCGUGGGUAGCAAACAGG